AUCUAAAUAGUUUAAUAAAAAUGUUAGUUUGUGGAGCUAAAGAUGUAAUUGUGUUAUUUUAGAUA
rnacentral:tRNA from 1 species